rnacentral:lncRNA from 1 species
UUGAAGGCAGAGAGUGCAUGCUCUGCCUCUCUCUCCUCUUCUCUCUCUCUCUCUUUCUCUUUCUCUCUCUCUCUUUCUCUCUCCUCUCUUUCUCUCCCCCCACCCAUGUGUGUGUGUGUGUGUGUGUGUGUGUGUGUGUGUGUGUGUGUGUGUGUAUUGCCAGAGGGUUGAACUCAGGGCCUCAUGUUCCACUUCUGAGCUAAAUCCCAAACUUAAAACUUUUUCUGUUCUUCAUCUCUGUGGGAUGACAUCAUCUGACUUUUCAGCUCUGGCCCCACACCACUCUCCUGUCUGCCCACGUUACUGUGUCUCAGAGUCUGGACAUACUGAAAUUGAGUUUUCACCAGUUACGCAUGCUCAGGCUUCUGU